GCCACGGUGGUCUAGCGGUCAGAACACUAGCCUCGUAAGCCUGGGGUCCCGGGUUCAAUUCCCGGUGGUGCUC
rnacentral:tRNA from 1 species